CAACACUACCAAUCGAGGACCUGGCCUCAGUUCACUCCAGACUAUUUGCGUAGCCCUCCGUUUUUUUCAAAUGGUAGUUUUAUCUAGGCUAUAAUGCUGGAGAUGCUGAGCACAUCACAGUCGUUUCAGAUGACCCAUCCAAGAUUUGUAUCGGCCUCCUAUCAUACAAAGAGCAAUAUUGUCUUGAGUACUAUGCCGAGAGGCAUUUACAACAUAAAGUAUAAAAUAGUCCUAACGGACUUGCAUCCACUGGAGAAUGUUCGAUCGUAGCCGGCGGCUUCAUUACAAGCACUGAUCCAUCUUGAUCUGUGAAGUUGAUGAAUUGUCACUUUUAGUGUGGGGUAUGGCCCAUGACUCUCUGAGGUGAUCCAGUCUGCCGACUGUCGGCCUUUUCACGAUUGGCUUAAAAAAAUGGCUUAUUUAAAUUUAUACCAAUACGAUGGUGGGAAAAGCUUACCAGUUUGUAUGUUUUUUAUACUUGAUCCUCUGACCGCUUGGAAGCAAUCGGAGUACAUUUGUUUUAGAAGAAAGGGGUUAUGUGGUAGGAUCUUUAAGAAUGCUUAACUGGGAUAUUUAUAUAUUCAUGGCUCAAAUAUUAAGGAUCAUGCUUUUGACGUGUAACUAACGCAUUUACGCGGUCAGCGAUCCGCUGCCAGGCUUUGGUUCUCCGGGUUCCAGAGGUUUUAGCGUUCCCUUUUCUUGUGAUAAUGUCCUUCUCCUCGUCAUAGCUCUCCAGGAGAACCUGGAGUUCCAUUUCAUUGAAAUAAGCGGCCCGUUUCGCCAUAUCGAUCAGGGUUUCCAUGAUCCAUACAUCACGUCUUUUUAAGUUUGGCGUGGACG